rnacentral:rRNA from 1 species
GCUUACGGCAGCAUUUAGGCUGCCUCACACUGAUCCCAACUAUUCUCAGAAGAUAAGCAGGGCUGAUCCUGGUCUGAUUUCAGAAAAGAGACUGCCAGGGAAUACCAGGUGCUGUAGGUU